GAUGAACGCUGACAGAAUGCUUAACACAUGCAAGUCAACUUGAACUUCGGUUUGGGUGGCGGACGGGUGAGUAACGCGUAAAGAACUUGCCUCACAGCUAGGGACAACAUUUGGAAACGAAUGCUAAUACCUGAUAUUAUGAUUAUAUGGCAUCGUAUAAUUAUGAAAGCUAUAUGCGCUGUGAGAGAGCUUUGCGUCCCAUUAGCUAGUUGGAGAGGUAACAGCUCACCAAGGCGAUGAUGGGUAGCCGGCCUGAGAGGGUGAUCGGCCACAAGGGGAUUGUGGGACGGACCUUGCAUCUACUGGACGAACGAGUGGGGAAGAAUGAACAAUUGACCGAGAAGCUGAUGCAGCAAUACUGUGGAAAAAAAAAAGGUCUUAGGAAAGAAAAGAGGUGUCAGUUAGAAAGCAAAAAGCGGCGGUAGCAACAGAAGAAGAGACCACUAUAUUCAUC
rnacentral:rRNA from 1 species